rnacentral:rRNA from 1 species
UACGGGGGGUGCGAGCGUUGUCCGGAAUCACUGGGCGUAAAGGGCGCGUAGGUGGUUUGAUAAGGGUGUGGUGAAAGCCCGGGGCUCAACCCCGGGUCUGCCGUGCCGACUGUCAAACUCGAGGGCUGUAGAGGCAGACGGAAUUCCGGGUGUAGCGGUGGAAUGCGUAGAGAUCCGGAGGAACACCAGUGGCGAAGGCGACACGCUGGGCCAUACCUGACGCUAAAGCGCGACAGCAUGGGGAGCAAACGGG